rnacentral:rRNA from 1 species
CUACGUGCCAGCAGCCGCGGUAAUACGGAAGGUCCGGGCGUUAUCCGGAUUUAUUGGGUUUAAAGGGAGUGUAGGCGGUCUGUUAAGCGUGUUGUGAAAUUUAGGUGCUCAACAUUUAACUUGCAGCGCGAACUGUCAGACUUGAGUACACGCAGCGCAGGCGGAAUUCAUGGUGUAGCGGUGAAAUGCUUAGAUAUCAUGAGGAACUCCGAUCGCGAAGGCAGCCUGCGGGAGUGUUACUGACGCUUAAGCUCGAAGGUGCGGGUAUCGAACAGGAUUAGAUACCCUGGUAGUCCGCACUGUAAACGAUGGAUGCCCGCCGUUGGCGCCCUGCGCCUGCGGCCAAGCGAAAGCAUUAAGCAUCCCACCUGGGGAGUACGCCGGCAACGGUGAAACUCAAAGGAAUUGACGGGGGCCCGCACAAGCGGAGGAACAUGUGGUUUAAUUCGAUGAUACGCGAGGAACCUUACCCGGGCUUGAAUUGCAGUCGCUGCCCACAGAGACGUGGGCUUCCUUCGG